rnacentral:rRNA from 1 species
UCUGAUGACGACCGGCGCACGGGUGAGUAACGCGUAUACAAUCUGCCUCAUACUAGGGGAUAGCCCAGAGAAAUUUGGAUUAAUACCCUAUAGUAUCUUUUAGAGUCAUCUCUUUAAGAUUAAAGGUUACGGUAUGAGAUGAGUAUGCGUUCUAUUAGUUAGUAGGUGAGGUAACGGCUCACCUAGACCACGAUAGAUAGGGGCCCUGAGAGGGGGAUCCCCCACACUGGUACUGAGACACGGACCAGACUCCUACGGGAGGCAGCAGUGAGGAAUAUUAGACAAUGGGCGAAAGCCUGAUCUAGCCAUGCCGCGUGCAGGAUGACGGCCCUAUGGGUUGUAAACUGCUUUUAUACAGGAAGAAAAAACUCUACGUGUAGAGUCUUGACGGUACUGUAAGAAUAAGGAUC